CCAGUGUGGACACCUGAGAGGUCUUUCUCUACAGGCUUUGUCCAAGUGGUUAGGGACAUUGGGCUCUUCACCAUAAGGCACUGUCCCUUUCUAUAAUGUUGGACAUGAAGAUGGACUUUGGGUAUACCUGCAUACUCCUGCAGCUUAUCAAGAGUCUUCUUUGACAGUGACUGACAGAUGACAAACCAUGUAGGAAAAUAGCU